GUAUGUGUUGUGGAGAACUUGGCCAUCGAUUUCAGUAGGCUUUUUAAAGCGCUUGCCUCAACUCUGCGCCGUUACCCGUAGCAGUUGCUUGUGUUACCAGGAUACUAGAUAGAUAUGCUGCGAGAUACAAGGAAAUUGUUACUGGGUCCCCUCAAAGUGGUAUGUUUACACGGUGUGUGUAUGUAUUGCAGAAAAUCAAGAAUUAUAGCUGUAAAAUGCUUCAAAGGUUCUUUGACUCUUCAGAGAAGUUACAGUUAUUCAGCAGGUGACGUAAAAUCUUUGCGCUCUAUUAUCUCUCCACCUGCCUCUAAAAUCCGCAACAUUGGCAUCAUGG